GGCUAAACCCGUGCCAGCAGAGGGGGGAAUACGGUGGGUGCAAGCGUUAAUCGGAAGUACUGGGCGUAAAGCGGGCGCAGGCGGCUUAUUAAGUCAGAUGUGAAAUCCCUAGGCUCAACCUAGGAACUGCAUUUGAAACUAAUAAACUAGAGUAUCGUAGAGGGAGGUAGAAUUCCAGGUGUAGCGGUGAAAUGCGUAGAUAUCUGGAGGAAUACCAGUGGCGAAGGCGACCUCCUGGACGAAAACUGACGCUCAAGCACGAAAGCAUGGGGAGCAAACAGGAUUAGAACCCCGGUAGUC
rnacentral:rRNA from 1 species